AUUGAACGCUGGCGGCAGGCUUAACACAUGCAAGUCGCACGAGUGGCGGACGGGUGAGUAAUGUCUGGGAAACUGCCCGAUGGAGGGGGAUAACUACUGGAAACGGUAGCUAAUACCGCAUACCAUCGGAUGUGCCCAACUGGGAUUAGCUAGUAGGUGGGGUAAUGGCUCACCUAGGCGACGAUCCCUAGCUGGUCUGAGAGGAUGACCAGCCAAACUGGGACUGAGAAACGGGCCAGACUCCUACGGGAGGCAGCAGUGGGGAAGAUUGCACAAUGGGCGAAAGCCUGAUGCAGCCAUGCCGCGUGUAUGAAGAAGGCCUUCGGGUUGUAAAGUACUUUCAGCGAGGAGGCGUUACUCGCAGAAGAAGCACCGGCUAACUCCGUGCCAGCAGCCGCGGUAAUAC
rnacentral:rRNA from 1 species